rnacentral:rRNA from 1 species
CUCGAAGAGUAGGGCGGGACACGUGGUAUCCUGUCUGAAUAUGGGGGGACCAUCCUCCAAGGCUAAAUACUCCUGACUGACCGAUAGUGAACCAGUACCGUGAGGGAAAGGCGAAAAGAACCCCGGCGAGGGGAGUGAAAAAGAACCUGAAACCGUGUACGUACAAGCAGUGGGAGCACCUUCGUGGUGUGACUGCGUACCUUUUGUAUAAUGGGUCAGCGACUUAUAUUCUGUAGCAAGGUUAACCGUAUAGGGGAGCCGAAGGGAAACCGAGUCUUAACUGGGCGUUAAGUUGCAGGGUAUAGACCCGAAACCCGGUGAUCUAGCCAUGGGCAGGUUGAAGGUUGGGUAACACUAACUGGAGGACCGAACCGACUAAUGUUGAAAAAUUAGCGGAUGACUUGUGGCUGGGGGUGAAAGGCCAAUCAAACCGGGAGAUAGCUGGUUCUCCCCGAAAGCUAUUUAGGUAGCGCCUCGUGAACUCAUCUUCGGGGGUAGAGCACUGUUUCGGCUAGGGGGCCAUCCCGGCUUACCAACCCGAUGCAAACUACGAAUACCGAAGAAUGUUAUCACGGGAGACACACGGCGGGUGCUAACGUCCGUCGUGAAGAGGGAAACAACCCAGACCGCCAGCUAAGGUCCCAAAGUCAUGGUUAAGUGGGAAACGAUGUGGGAAGGCACAGACAGCCAGGAUGUUGGCUUAGAAGCAGCCAUCAUUUAAAGAAAGCGUAAUAGCUCACUGGUCGAGUCGGCCUGCGCGGAAGAUGUAACGGGGCUAAACCAUGCACCGAAGCUGCGGCAGCGACACUAUGUGUUGUUGGGUAGGGGAGCGUUCUGUAAGCCGUUGAAGGUGUGCUGUGAGGCAUGCUGGAGGUAUCAGAAGUGCGAAUGCUGACAUAAGUAACGAUAAAGCGGGUGAAAAGCCCGCUCGCCGGAAGACCAAGGGUUCCUGUCCAACGUUAAUCGGGGCAGGGUGAGUCGACCCCUAAGGCGAGGCCGAAAGGCGUAGUCGAUGGGAAACAGGUUAAUAUUCCUGUACUUGGUGUUACUGCGAAGGGGGGACGGAGAAGGCUAUGUUAGCCGGGCGACGGUUGUCCCGGUUUAAGCAUGUAGGCGGAGGUUCCAGGUAAAUCCGGUACCUUUUAACGCUGAGGUGUGAUGACGAGGCACUACGGUGCUGAAGUAACAAAUGCCCUGCUUCCAGGAAAAGCCUCUAAGCAUCAGGUAACAUCAAAUCGUACCCCAAACCGACACAGGUGGUCAGGUAGAGAAUACCAAGGCGCUUGAGAGAACUCGGGUGAAGGAACUAGGCAAAAUGGUGCCGUAACUUCGGGAGAAGGCACGCUGAUAUGUAGGUGAAGCCCCUGCGGGUGGAGCUGAAAUCAGUCGAAGAUACCAGCUGGCUGCAACUGUUUAUUAAAAACACAGCACUGUGCAAACACGAAAGUGGACGUAUACGGUGUGACGCCUGCCCGGUGCCGGAAGGUUAAUUGAUGGGGUUAGCGGCAACGCGAAGCUCUUGAUCGAAGCCCCGGUAAACGGCGGCCGUAACUAUAACGGUCCUAAGGUAGCGAAAUUCCUUGUCGGGUAAGUUCCGACCUGCACGAAUGGCGUAAUGAUGGCCAGGCUGUCUCCACCCGAGACUCAGUGAAAUUGAACUCGCUGUGAAGAUGCAGUGUACCCGCGGCAAGACGGAAAGACCCCGUGAACCUUUACUAUAGCUUGACACUGAACACUGGUCCUUGAUGUGUAGGAUAGGUGGGAGGCUUUGAAGCGUGGACGCCAGUCUGCGUGGAGCC